GUUGAGGGUUUGAUUUUAUGCUCAGUUAUGGAAGCGUUGAUUUUGAUCUAGGGGUGUUGGGUUGCAGAUUGUUAGUUGUGGCAAUUCUUAUGGGGUCGAGGAUUUCUGUUAGAGUUCGUACAAGUCAUCUUUUCCGGCAGCAACCUUCUACAGCAGCGUAUCAUCAGCUGAGGAUUUAAAGGAGGUGCAGCGGGUUUACUUUGGUUUUGGCUGAGUUUCCAGCAGCAUACAGUUUCAUCUAUUCAAUUGUGGGUCAACAGAAAUUCAUCUGGUUUUAGGAUGUUGAUUCGGGACGAGCACUUCGACAUAGAGGUU